AACGAACGCUGGCGGCAGGCCUAACACAUGCAAGUCGAACGCCCGUAGCAAUACGGGAGUGGCAGACGGGUGAGUAACGCGUGGGAACGUGCCCUUCGGUUCGGAAUAACUCAGGGAAACUUGAGCUAAUACCGGAUACGUCCGUAAGGAGAAAGAUUUAUCGCCGAAGGAUCGGCCCGCGUCGGAUUAGCUAGUUGGUGAGGUAACGGCCCACCAAGGCGACGAUCCGUAGCUGGUCUGAGAGGAUGAUCAGCCACACUGGGACUGAGACACGGCCCAGACUCCUACGGGAGGCAGCAGUGGGGAAUAUUGGACAAUGGGCGAAAGCCUGAUCCAGCCAUGCCGCGUGAGUGAAGAAGGCCUUAGGGUUGUAAAGCUCUUUCAGC
rnacentral:rRNA from 1 species